rnacentral:hammerhead_ribozyme from 1 species
AUCCAACUGCAGAGUCGCACACAGGACGAAAUUCGAAUCCUGGAU